UGAUAAUAGCCUCGGUGACAUGGGCAUAUCAUCAGGUGGUGGAGGUGGUUUUGGUAGCAGUUCUGGUUUUGGAUUGGGUGCUGAUGUCGAGUCCUUUUCUAGCAAGCCUAAAGGCCGUCCACCUUCAUCUGCUACUGCUCCUCCUAAAGGCCUUGGCAUGCAGCUUGGUAAAUCCCAAAGGACAAACCAAUUCUUGGAAUCUUUGAAGGCAGAAGGUGAAGUAAUAGUUGAAGAUGUACAACCAAGUGUUGGUCCAUCUAAAUCAGCUGUCCCACCCCCAACCGAUCCUGUUACUCUAUCUGUG
rnacentral:misc_RNA from 1 species